GACGAACGCUGGCGGCGUGCUUAACACAUGCAAGUCGAGCGGUAAGGCCCUUCGGGUACGACGAGCGGCGAACGGGUGAGUAACACGUGGGUGACCUGCCCUCAGCUCUGGGAUAAGCCUGGGAAACCGGGUCGUAAUACCGGAUAUGACUCCAUGACGCAUGUUGUGGGGUGGAAAGCCUUGUGCGGCUGAGGAUGGGCCCGCGGCCUAUCAGCUUGUUGUGGGGUGAUGGCCUACCAAGGCGACGACGGGUAGCCGGCCUGAGAGGGCGACCGGCCGACACUGGGACUGAGACACGGCCCAGACUCCUACGGGAGGCAGCAGUGGGGAAUCUUGCGCAAUGGGCG
rnacentral:rRNA from 1 species